rnacentral:rRNA from 1 species
AGUGAAGCGGCAAAAGCUCAAAUUUGAAAUCUGGUACCUUCGGUGCCCGAGUUGUAAUUUGGAGAGGGCAACUUUGGGGCCGUUCCUUGUCUAUGUUCCUUGGAACAGGACGUCAUAGAGGGUGAGAAUCCCGUGUGGCGAGGAGUGCGGUUCUUUGUAAAGUGCCUUCGAAGAGUCGAGUUGUUUGGGAAUGCAGCUCUAAGUGGGUGGUAAAUUCCAUCUAAAGCUAAAUAUUGGCGAGAGACCGAUAGCGAACAAGUACAGUGAUGGAAAGAUGAAAAGAACUUUGAAAAGAGAGUGAAAAAGUACGUGAAAUUGUUGAAAGGGAAGGGCAUUUGAUCAGACAUGGUGUUUUGUGCCCUCUGCUCCUUGUGGGUGGGGGAAUCUCGCAUUUCACUGGGCCAGCAUCAGUUUUGGUGGCAGGAUAAAUCCAUAGGAAUGUAGCUUGCCUCGGUAAGUAUUAUAGCCUGUGGGAAUACUGCCAGCUGGGACUGAGGACUGCGACGUAAGUCAAGGAUGCUGGCAUAAUGGUUAUAUGCCGC